AAGCCUACGGGGGGCAGCAGUGGGGGAUAUUGCACAAUGGGGGAAACCCUGAUGCAGCGACGCCGCGUGAGUGAAGAAGUAUUUCGGUAUGUAAAGCUCUAUCAGCAGGGAAGACAAUGACGGUACCUGAGUAAGAAGCCCCGGCUAACUACGUGCCAGCAGCCGCGGUAAUACGUAGGGGGCAAGCGUUAUCCGGAUUUACUGGGUGUAAAGGGAGCGUAGACGGCAGGGCAAGUCUGAUGUGAAAGCCCGGGGCUCAACCCCGGGACUGCAUUGGAAACUGGCAGGCUAGAGUGCAGGAGAGG
rnacentral:rRNA from 1 species